rnacentral:lncRNA from 1 species
CCAGGCCCAUUUCAUUCCACUGAGGUUUUUGAACCCUUAGGUGUCUAAGGUAAUACCACCACCAUCCCCACCUGUUUUCAGUUCUUUCUUUGUGGCUUAAGAUUGCAUUUUAGGAGGGUUUAUGUAAUGUUGUUCACGUCAGCAAGUCUCCCUGCCCCACCCUCACCCCACUGUCCUAUAUGGAAUUAUAGUUGGAAACCACACACACAUAGAAAAUCUUUGAAGAUUUUUUUCUGCUAUUCUUCCUGACUAGAAGAGUUGACAAGACAUAGACACAUUCAGUUGCAUAAAAUACAGUAGCGUGAUCAGCCUAAAUGCAUCUCAUUUGCACUGUUUGUAACCAGGGGUGGGGGCUUGUGUCACUCAUUGCCUCCCCCUCCUCUGCCCAAACCAGACCCGCCAGCUGGAAUUUCAGAGCAGGCCCCAAGGCAGCAGCCAUUUGGGAAGUGGAAGGCCUAGCCCACCCCAGUCCAGCAGGGGUUGGGGGUGGAUAGAGAAGGUGUCUGGAGGUCUGGCCUGAAGGCUUGGACCAACUUUGGCAGACCUGGGCUCUGGGAGGCUUGGCCGGUGGGUGCCCGCAGCUGGAAGCUGGAGGUCUGCAGCGAUGCUUCUGAGCUUCUCCUGAGUUGAGUUCAAGAAAGGGGACACCAAGAAGUAGGGGAACAGUCACUGACUAUAUUUUACAUCCACGCCUACCCCUUUCCCAGAGUUGUGUUCUCACCACCCACUUUGUCGGCGGAGGAGAAACACUGCUGCCUGAUGGGUUCUUGCACCUGCUCCUAGCCCUGAACUCGGGCCCUGAGCUCCUCACUGCCGCCCGCUCUGCGCUGAGCCCCACUCCUGAGACCGCGAGGUGCCAGAGCAGCGCCUCUCCCACCAACUCCUAGACGCCUGUAGGAGCUGCGCCGGAGCCUUCAGAACCCCGUGGGGGUGUGGGGGUGAAGUUGGAGGUCAUCCGGCUCCGGCUUCUCGAACGCUCUUCUGAUCGCCCAGCGGGGAGACUUCAGGGACUGCCUCGUCAGGCCAGAUUGCAGCCCGCGACCUUCCCGGAUCAACCAAGGGCGAGGCCUGUUGCCCAGCAAGGCUGCCGCCUAACUGAGCCUCCCGGGGAACAGCCAUGACCAAAGCCCCGCGGGCCCAGGCGCGGGCACCUACCCCUACCCGCUCAGGCCUGUGGGAGCGCAGGGGCAGAGGCCGAGACGCUGGACUUCCAGCCCCACACCUCUGACAACCCGGGCACGUCUGCGGAGCCCGGGGGAACAAUCAGCGGGCUCUGCGUCCCGGGAGCUGGGGACACGCCUGCAAGGGCUUUCUGCCUGCACACAGUCAUUUGGAGAAAAUCAAGUGAGUGCA